rnacentral:rRNA from 1 species
ACGAACGCUGGCGGCGUGCUUAACACAUGCAAGUCCAACGGAAAGGCCCUGCUUUUGUGGGGUGCUCGAGUGGCGAACGGGUGAGUAACACGUGAGUAACCUGCCCUUGACUUUGGGAUAACUUCAGGAAACUGGGGCUAAUACCGGAUAGGAGCUCCUGCUGCAUGGUGGGGGUUGGAAAGUUUCGGCGGUUGGGGAUGGACUCGCGGCUUAUCAGCUUGUUGGUGGGGUAGUGGCUUACCAAGGCUUUGACGGGUAGCCGGCCUGAGAGGGUGACCGGCCACAUUGGGACUGAGAUACGGCCCAGACUCCUACGGGAGGCAGCAGUGGGGAAUAUUGCACAAUGGGCGGAAGCCUGAUGCAGCAACGCCGCGUGCGGGAUGACGGCCUUCGGGUUGUAAACCGCUUUCGCCUGUGACGAAGCGUGAGUGACGGUAAUGGGUAAAGAAGCACCGGCUAACUACGUG